ensembl:lncRNA
AUGAAGAGCACUAUGUUCAGAAAGAUACAUGCCAUAUUUCAUCCCAUCUCUCAGAGGAGGAGCUUUUCGGAUGGGAUCCCUACUUACAACGGCUCUCCAGUCCGGCUGAUCCGUAGCACUUCAAUGUUCGUGAUCGGAGGCGAGGAGCACAACUUCAGUGAGCCACUCAAAAAAAGCAAGAGUACCACCAGCAUUGAUUCGGCUACCUGUGGACAAAUGAAGGAGGAAGAAAGGGCAUGGAUGUACUCCAAGACCCAAGACUGCUUGCAGUACCUACAAGAUCUGUUAGCCUUGCGGAAAAAAUACCUCGAGAGCAUCAAAGACCUGAAGUUUAUGGACAGAGGAUCUUCUUCAUCCAUGAAAUCAUCCAAGAACAAAAAAAUGUCACCAGCCCCAUCUCCUCAUGCACAAUUGUCCAAGGUCUCAACAGCAAAAAAAGUUUCCCAGUUCAGCUCAGAGGUAGCUGAAGCAAUUGCUUAUUUUGAUGCAAUUAUUGCAGAGCUGGAUGCAGAAAGGCAUAGAAAAAUAAUUGUGAGAGAUCAUCCACAUGCAGAUGUUGAUUUUGAUGUUGUCACUAGCUCAAGGGAGCACAGCUUGCACUCCAACUGGAUUCUUCGUGCCCCCCGGAGACAUUCCCAGGACCCUGUCCAAGCGGUAAAAACAACAAGCCUAUCGGAAAGAAGCAGCCAAGGAAGAACAAUCAGCUCCAGAAAGAAAUUGCAGAGAUACCCAAUGUAUCUUCCUAAAGCUGUGGAGGGAGCAUUCAACACUUUGAAGUUUAAGCCCAAAAUGUGCCCAAAAGAACAGCACUGAUCUGGAGUGUGGAAUCCCUUCCAUGUAAGGGCCGCCUAAGCAGUGACAGCCCUUUCUUCAGACUUGUGGUCUAUUUGUACAGAAGAUUUGCAAUAGUCUUUAGUUCUUGAAUGCAUGUGGCUCACAGGUUUUUACUUCGAUAGUGGGAUAUUACACUUCCAGGCAAUGUUUUGUAGGCUACAAAAGGCGUCAUCUGCCCCUCAGUUGCGCACAAACCAAACCCCAUCCAUUUCUAAUUGUCCUUGCUACAUAUACAGAAUAUAGUAGCUCAAGUGUCAUGGUCAUCGAUUGGACAUUUCCUGUUAUGCUGUGAGAGAUAGCUAGCCAGCACCUUCUUUGCAUGGCCAUGCCAUUUGUGAUUUCCUUUAUAACAUAUGUUAAUGUUUCUUCGGUAGUUGUUUUGUACUACCCUCCUGAGUAAUCCUACCUCAGGGAUACACUUCCAGGACUUUUUUUUAAAGUGCAAAAAGUCUGGACAUUUUUCUUGUGAAUCUUUUAAAUAAAACCUGUUUGACUUUUGUAACCAACUUUUCCUGACAGUUCUUAUAUUUAUCAAAUUUAUGCAUCGCUUUUGCUGAAGCAUAAACAAUGACUUGACCUCCAUGUCAGGGAAAUCAGGGCUGAGAUAAACCCCAGAUUUAAAGGACUUUUCCAAGGUGAUGAACCUAUUUUGGGAGUCUGGAAGCUACCAGGUAUAUAUAUAUAACAUAUCUUCAAGUUUAUCCAUAUCUACCAAUUAAUGUAGAAAGAAGUCAGGGUUCAAAAAAGAAUGACUAGGUAAAUUUGUUUCAAAAUUUCAAAGCACACAGUAUUUCCCCCUCUCAAAUCAAGGCCAGAAAGGGAUAAGAAGGAUAGGCUUUUGAUAACUAUCUAUCAUAGUAGGCGAUUGGUUGGAAGUAAGAAACUGUUAUUUGCUAAUUUUCCUCAGUUUACUAUUACAUUAUUAUGUAUAGCAUUGUGCUCCUUUUACCUUCCAAAGUAAUGCAUUACAGAUAAUGAUGAUAUUGUCACGUGCUACUGCCAAGCUAUGCUCAAAUCUACAAAUAGUGCCGUGAAGGGCAGCUCCCCUGAAACAGAUAUUUUGCCUUCUUCAAAUAGAACAAAAAGGUCCCAAAUACCUGGUCUCAAGCUAUUUAAGGCUUUCAGGUUGAAUUAUCUUUGAAAGUGUACAGGUAAUCUUACAGUGAAGAUCCUUUAACACAAGUGAUGUAUGUUCACACAAGCACAUUUCAAUUUAGCAACCUUAUCAUCAGUUUCUGAACCAACUGAAAUUUCUGACCCAAUCUUCAAGGUGGGCAUUAAAUAUAAUACACUGUAGUGCUCCAACCUCAUCUUUUUACAAGAAUCAGGAAGAAAAUACUGAUUUUUUUUCAUGAUCAUACUUCAAGAGUUUUUGUAUUUGCACUGAAUGAACCACACUUUGGCGUACAAGAGGUGGGGAUGCUGCAAGUUGAAAUAGCAAACGCUAUCACUAAAUAUACACGAAAGAGAAUACUUUUGGUGUGUUGUAAAACCAAUGUUCACAGUACCCAAGAGACUAUUUAAUAAAGACCCGAUUCCGACUUUGCAGAAGAAGUCAGAUAAUGUAGUUGUUAAUUGGAACUUACGUAAGAGAGAUUCACGACUACCAUAGGGUUUCUCUCUCAAGGGAAGAAAAAAGUUUGAAACCAACAAAAACACAGUGUGAAACAAACAGUCCUGAGAUGUAUUGUGAAGUUCCCCUGCAUGGUCGAUAGCUUCAUAGCAUUAUUUCCUAUCUUUCAUUUCAAAUCGUGAGGUUUAGCAAAUAUUAGAUUCUGAUCUAGGGAUUAAAUAUUUGCUUAAUAUAUUAGGAGCCGGUCUUAGCACAGCAGGUUAACCGCUAGUUGCAGAAAAUCUUGCCAAUUGAAAGGUUGGCAGUUCAAACCCAGAUUGGGGUGAGCACCCACCAUCAGCCCCAGCUCCUUGCCCACCUAGCAGAUCGAAAGAAGGAAUGCGAGUAAAUAAAUAGGUACUGCUUUUAGCAGGGAGGUAAUAAAAGACGCCUGUAAGGACAUCCAUCAGGAGGACGUGUAAGAAUGACAAAGCUCCUCGGCAUGGAAAAUGGAGCGACAGCCACCAUCACCACCACCCCCCGCGAGAGUUGAGCACAGCCUCCAAGAUGCCAGAAAUAAGAUGGGAAAUGCCUUUACCUCUGCUGUGUAUUGUCUGUCCUUGUUAAUUGUAUACAGUAAUGGCAUUGAAU